rnacentral:misc_RNA from 1 species
AUAAAUGUUUAUAAAAAAAAACUAGCAUCAGUGAAUGAUGUAGCAUAGUCAACUAGCUGUACUAAUCCCAACAUUUUCGGGUUCCGACAUGGAGUAUAUGUGAAAGUCAUUAGAAUUGUAAAAAGAAUUUAAUUUUGAUCCUAUAAUUUCAAAAGUGUAAUGAGUUAAAUAGUAAGAACCUAAAGGAUAAACCUGUUAAACAUAAAUUCUAGAUCUGCCUCUUCAUAAUAGUGCAUCCAUCCACAUAAAAUCCUGGAUCUGCCUCAGAAUUUGAU